UGGGCUGCUUGUUGCUCCCCGUGGACUCACAGCCUUCAUUCCUCCACCCCCUUUUGUACGCACAGCAUGGGUCAAGAUGCACCUAACUCCAUCGCACACUCCCAAAAUGUUCUACAGAAGAGCUGAGCAGCACAAGCGAGCGGAACAUUCCUGCUUUGCUCCACAGUGAUACGGUACCACCAAAAUGCGGAGCACUCGUGGGAACCGGCGUCCUCGUCCAGGAGCGACAGGCCGGCUUCCGUGGGCGUCUCGCUGGCGGGAGGCAGCAGCAGAUUGGGCUCAUCGCUCCCCGACUGUCCCAGGGAGAUGAGCACCAUCAAGCACAAGUGGCAUCUAAUCCAACACCAAGAAGUUGCCUUUUGCAGUGGGGAAGAAAAGUGCGUUCCAGUGUGUCUUUAUUGCAAGUUGACCAAAUCUCUAUUUGACGAAUGCA